rnacentral:rRNA from 1 species
AGAGUUUGAUCCUGGCUCAGAGCGAACGCUGGCGGCGUGCCUAACACAUGCAAGUCGAACGCUGAACUCCUGAAUCUUCGGAUUUGGGAGCUAGGCGUGGCGCACGGGUGAGUAACGCGUGGAUAACCUGCCCACUAGUGGGGAAUAACCCCGGGAAGCUGGGGCUAAUACCGCAUAAUCUUUUCCUGACACCGGUCGGGAAAUGCAAAGCCCGCAAGGGCGCUGGUGGAGGGAUCCGCGUCUGAUCAGCUAGUUGGUGAGGUAACGGCUCACCAAGGCAGAGACCGGUAGCCGGUCUGAGAGGACGAUCGGCCACACUGGAACUGAGACACGGUCCAGACUCCUACGGGAGGCAGCAGUGAGGAAUAUUGCGCAAUGGGGGAAACCCUGACGCAGCGACGCCGCGUGGAGGACGACGCCCUUCGGGGUGUAAACUCCUUUCGACGGGGACGAAUGCCCGCAAGGGUUUGACGGUACCCGUAUAAGAAGCCCCGGCUAACUACGUGCCAGCAGCCGCGGUAAUACGUAGGGGGCAAGCGUUGCUCGGAAUUACUGGGCGUAAAGGGUCCGUAGGCGGUGGGGCAUGUCGGUUGUGAAAUCUCCCGGCUUAACUGGGAGGGUGCGAUCGAAACUGUUCCGCUAGAGGGCC